UACGUAGGAUGCAAGCGUUGUCCGGAAUUAUUGGGCGUAAAGAGCGCGCAGGCGGUGUAUCAAGUCAGAUGUGAAAGAGGCCGGCUUAACCGGCAAGGGUCAUUUGAAACUGAUAGACUAGAGUGCAGCAGAGGAUAGUGGAAUUCCCGGUGUAGUGGUGAAAUGCGUAGAUAUCGGGAGGAACACCAGUGGCGAAGGCGACUAUCUGGGCUGCAACUGACGCUGAGGCGCGAAGGCUAGGGUAGCAAACGGG
rnacentral:rRNA from 1 species